rnacentral:rRNA from 11 species
CUAUAAGCACAAUAUGGUCCUCAACCCAGCACCAGAUCCCAUCUGAUCUUGGAAGCUAAGCAGGGCCAGCCCCAGUUAGUACUUAGAUGGAAGACUACUGAUAAAUCCCUGAUGCUAAAAGU